CUCCAGCCAGAAUGGAGCCUAACCUGGAUACACUCCUGCCAAGCAGGGAGGCAGGGGAUGAAGAUCCCAGACAGAAAAAAAAGGAUAAACAACAAUGAUGGAGAGAUUGUGAAGCAGACAGAGAGAGUCUAGAACCUUCUCACCUCCCUCUCUCUCUCUCUCUCUCUCUCUCUCUCUCUCUCUGUUGCGUCCACCAGAGAUUUACUGAGACAUGGAAACAUCGCGGGAAGUCUGAAGGGAUUCAGUCCCACACUUACUGGAGACGGCAGCCGUAGGCCAGAGAAUCAGAACCAGUUACGUGUGCCAGUGCAGGGCCCAGGUCAGCUGGCCAACAGCACGCAUUCAGACUGAUGUUCACACGUUCUCUCUCGAGAGCCCGUGUAAAGAUGACGGAUAUGGAGUCGCUUACCUGUAUGACAGAUUGAAGGACCAGGUAUGGAACGACAGAGGAGAGAGGAGAAAAACCUAGAUGGAGGCGGCCCCGCCCUGCCUGUUGUCGUGGCGACCUGAAGGUGACGGACAAUUUGAUGAAUGGCCCCUACAGCUGCUCCUUUCACAAGGCUGCCGACACCCCAUGGAAUUUACAGGGUGAUGAAACAUUCUCAGUGAAGAGUCCAUGAACAUUCCCAGUGAAGGGAUGAGUCCAUGAACAUUCCAGUCAAGGGAAGAGUCUAUGAACAUCUCAGUGAAGGGAAGAGUCCAUGAACAUUCCCAGUGAAGAGUUCAUGAACAUUCCCAGAGAAGGGAAGAGCCCAUAAAAGUUCCCAGUGAAGAGUCCAUGAACAUCCCAGUGAAGAGAAGAGUCCAUGCGAUGCUUUAAACUUCAUCCAUCAGAGUGGGUGGGAAACUGGCAGUCAUUUGCCUGAAAAGCUCAACUGUGUUAUGACACUGGAACCCAAUCGAUGACACAGAGGGAGACACGCUCGCUCCAAACAAACCAGGCAGUUGCCGCUAAUGGAUCGGCACGAAAGAAUCAAUAACCGUAACGUCCCCCCGGACACUCUGCUCGGCGUCUCCAAAGGAACAAUGGCAUUAUGGGCCCUUUGCUGGGGGGGAGGACUGCCAUUUACGGAGAAUAAAAGACAAUCAGAGGAUCAGAGGAUGAUGGUUUGGAGAGAGGUGCAUGUUCUCUUUUGAUUUUAUCACAAGGUACGUUCUGGUUCCAACUAAGCACAGCUUAGUAUACAGCUGAAGCCAUCAGCAAUUCAUGAAUUUUAUACAUUUAUCAUCAUUUUAUUUUUAAGAUGUUCCAAGGAAUCCCAGAAACUUGAGCGAUUCCUUUACGUUCCUUACGUUCCUGUCCAUGGUCCUGAAACGUUGCUCAUGAACUAAUGGCCAUGUCAAAAGUGAAAAGGGAAACACCCCUGAAUUUAACAGAAAAAAAACUAACAGCAGAACACCUGUGUGUCCUGCUGAGCACUCCAGCAGUGGACAUGGCGUCCAUAUCACACACUAGAGCCUGCAGCAUGCAGCGUGCUGUCCGUUGUCCUAAAACCAAAGAGAUGCGAAAACCCAAAGGCUGCGGUCACUGUUGUGAAAUCUUCCCAUGAUGUCACCAGGUGGUUUUCCACUCUUAAAAGUGCACAGUCUUUAAGGAAGAGCUAUCAACAUAUCCCUGGUAUUAAUCAGACUUUAAUUAACACCUUGAUAUAUAAGUCCAACUGGACACAUAAACACUGUAAGGGUUUACUCAAUAAGUAAUAAAGUGUUAUUUCACAGG